rnacentral:lncRNA from 1 species
AAAGGAGUUAGAACCAUAGGAUUGUUAUUACAUAUCACUAGAACUAUCAAAGAGUUAUCUCAAACUUAAUUUCUCUUCAUGUACUUGCAACAGAGAAUGAAGUCUUUUCUUCUCCAACUCUCUCUCCGACUUCCCGUCUCUGCAAAUUUCUCACAUCUUCUUGUACUUUCAAUAGUUAUAUUUUUUAUUUAAUUUCUCACCCAUCUUCUUCUUAAUUGCAUCCUACUCUUCCUUUUGCAUACUCGAACUAUAAACCCUAGUUCAAAUUUGGGUUUGGUGGGUUCAAUUUAUUGCAGUUUAGAACCAAUUGGCUCUCUCUCUCUCUCUCUCUCUCUCUCUCUCUCUCUCUCUCUCUCUCUCUCUCUCUCUCUCUCUCUCUCUCUCUCUCUCUCUCUCUCUCUCUCUCUCAGCAUCAAUCAAUUGAACUAGGUUUUGUUCUUAUUCAAUGAUAAUUUAUUCUAAAUUCCAUCAAUUUUGUAAACUUUUAAUAGCUUUAGAUGUUUGUAUGAGGAAACAAAAGCAAACAUAAGAAGAUUUUUGGUAGAAAAGUUACAGAAAUUGCAGACGGAAUUAGCCUUCAUUCACAAUGCAAACUCAAAACUAAGGUUAGUUGGUCCAACUGUUCAUUUAGUAGUAGAAGAAGAUGUUGAAACUUAUUAAUAUUGGUUUGAUAAUAUUCAAAAUUUUAUAAUUAAUUUCAGAAAUGUUGUGUUUUUAUGUACAAGAAUCAAUUUUGGAAGGAGGACAAACAGUUUUAGGGUCGGCAAUUCAAGCUAUCGUGGUAGUUGGGGUCGGCAAUUGUUCGAGGAGUUGCACACAUUUAAGAAGAAGAAAAAGAUACAAAAGUUAGAAGAAGAAGAAGAACGAACAGAGUAGUUGGGGUCGGCAAUUGUGCGAGCAGUUGCACACAUUUAAGAAGAAGAAAAAGUUACAAAGGUUAAAGGAAGAAGAAGAAACAGAACCGACAAAAAACAAACUAGUGAGUGGACUCUAAUUUGGAUAAAUUAUUUUUAAUGUGAUUUUGAUGCGCCUUGGUCAUGUACAUUAGAAUAUGGUUACUGUUGGUUUUAAUAUCCUAUACAUAUAUCAUGAUGAUAGUGAAAUUGUAUGUAUAUUAGCUUUAUUUUAAGUUUCAACAGAUCAACUUCCUGAAAGUUGGCAUGUGGCAGUGGCAUUCACAAACUCAGAUAAUAUGUUGCAUAUAAUCAAUAGAGUUCAGAGCUAAGAUAACAUUUGAUUCUCCUCCAUGACCAUUUCUAUAAUUAAACAUAAUAGUGCUUUAUUUUUAUUUUUUUCAAAUGCAAAGAAAUAGCUUAUUUUAAAAUAAAGGCUUAUUUUCCAUUUGUAUAAAAAUUUGAGGAAGGCUUUUAUAUAAAUUGAUAUACAAUUCUAGGCACGCUUUCUUCAUUAAGGGGCAGCAAGCAAUUGAUAUAGCCAUUAUGGAAAGAGUACUACUAUGAUAGCUUGAAUAUAUAUAUAUAGUAAAAAACCACAAUUUUUACGAUUAUUUAUGCAAACUAGUCUACCUAUUUCUAACGUUAGUCCCCAUCGUGUCACGGUUCUAUAUUUAUACAAUUCAUCAGUUUGUAAACUACAAUUGAAGUAAUUGUAAGUCUGUAACAACUGAAGAAUGUAUGAAUUUACUUUCCAAUACCUCUUGUUUUGUUUAUCUUUUUAAUUUAUUAAUUUUGGUGGCGGUAUGUUUUGUUUAUUUUUUCAAAAAAAUAAAAAAAAAAUCGCAAGCAAAUGCUAGUAUAUCGAACAAUGUUCACAUGAUAUUUAAAUUUCACAGUACUCUAGCUUUAGGGUCCUUUGCAGUAUCGAGACUUUGAUAAAGAACUUCAUUUUUACUUGAAGGUAAUUUAUAUUAGAAAUUUUAAUUGUAGUGCAUAAUACAUGACAGUGUAGUGUGAGCCACCCAAAUACAAUAUUUGUGUUACAGCCCAACCUGCUGACCUGUCACAUAUAAUAUUGGCUUAAGAUUUUGCAGCAAUGCAAAAUGCUCUUGUGUGGUCGAUUCCACCUAAUUAUGCCAUCCAUUCAAUUACCAGGACACAGUUUAAGUUUCAAUACUAUAGAUAUUGGAACUUAAGUAUGUUGCUGGCAUCAUUUUUUGAAUCAUUUGCAUUGAGCAUAGUCGAAAACUAUAUACAUGAAAUUAUUUUCUGGUAAAUCCUAUUCAUUAUAUUGUUUAAGCUGAUACUUAAUGUAACACCCCGGGUCAGCAGGUGGUUUGCCGAGGGGGUGGAUCCUACGACACCUAAGAGGAGGAUGUCCUGACAUUGGAAUAUAGGUAUAGAUCCGUCAUAUAUAAUCACCGAGGCCUUUUGGGCUCACUUGGCUACAGAGUUCGAAAGAACUCCAGAGUUAAGCGUGCUCGGGUGGGAGUAGUCUCAGGAUGGGUCACCUCCUGGGAAGCAGGUUGUUGCCCAUAAAACCCCACACUGUCGGAUGUCCGCAGUGGUUAAGUGGGGACAAUAUCGGUGGUGAUAUAGGUCGGGUCGCUACAAAUGGUAUCAGAGCCGACGACGGUUCUCCUGUCGAGGGUGGGAGAGUAUGCUGGAAAGGCGCCUAGGUCGGUAAAGGGGUGACGGUUGCGCCGGGUACUCGUCUCGCGAGGGGCGGGGAACGUCGGAGAUCUGGGACUGUAUAUUCCAGAGCCGAGGACGACUCUCCUCUAAGGUGGUGGGAUUGUAACACCCCGGGUCGGCAGGUGGUUUGCCGAGGGGGUGGAUCCUACGACACCUAAGAGGAAGAUGUCCUGACAUUGGAAUAUAGGUAUAGAUCCGUCAUAUAUAAUCACCGAGGCCUUUUGCGCUCACUUGGAUACAGAGUUCGAAAGAACUCUAAAGUUAAGUGUGCUCGGGUGGGAGUAGUCUCAGGAUGGGUCACCUCCUGGGAAGCAGGCUGCUGCCCAUAAAACCCCACACUAUCGGAUGUCCGUAGUGGUUAAGUGGGGACAAUAUCGGUGGUGAUAUAGGUCGGGUCGCUAUACUUAAGUUUAUAUCUUUGUCCCUACAGGUCUUACAAAGGAUGUACUUAGUGUUUCGUUUAGCCCUGAUGGGUAACAUCUGGCUAGUGGACCUACACUUGUACAGGUUAGAUUUUAAGUGUUUCCUAUUGCAUAUACCCGAUUAGCUAUGUUGCCUAGACUCCUCCAUUUUUUACACCAAGGUGAUACCAUAGUGACUUUUGAAUGAAAAUGCCAAAGAUAGAUUCAAUUUGUUAUCUAGUGAAUGCUGGUAAAUAAAAG